GGGUAUGAUGAAGUUUGCACUGGGCUCUGAGCAGUUAAACUGCCUCUAUUGAUGAAAUGCAGCCUAGAAAGCUAUUUCUGACUC